AAAUUGAAGAGUUUGAUCAUGGCUCAGAUUGAACGCUGGCGGCAGGCCUAACACAUGCAAGUCGAACGGUAACAGGAAACAGCUUGCUGUUUCGCUGACGAGUGGCGGACGGGUGAGUAAUGUCUGGGAAACUGCCUGAUGGAGGGGGAUAACUACUGGAAACGGUAGCUAAUACCGCAUAAUGUCGCAAGACCAAAGAGGGGGACCUUCGGGCCUCUUGCCAUCGGAUGUGCCCAGAUGGGAUUAGCUAGUAGGUGGGGUAACGGCUCACCUAGGCGACGAUCCCUAGCUGGUCUGAGAGGAUGACCAGCCACACUGGAACUGAGACACGGUCCAGACUCCUACGGGAGGCAGCAGUGGGGAAUAUUGCACAAUGGGCGCAAGCCUGAUGCAGCCAUGCCGCGUGUAUGAAGAAGGCCUUCGGGUUGUAAAGUACUUUCAGCGGGGAGGAAGGGAGUAAAGUUAAUACCUUUGCUCAUUGACGUUACCCGCAGAAGAAGCACCGGCUAACUCCGUGCCAGCAGCCGCGGUAAUACGGAGGGUGCAAGCGUUAAUCGGAAUUACUGGGCGUAAAGCGCACGCAGGCGGUUUGUUAAGUCAGAUGUGAAAUCCCCGGGCUCAACCUGGGAACUGCAUCUGAUACUGGCAAGCUUGAGUCUCGUAGAGGGGGGUAGAAUUCCAGGUGUAGCGGUGAAAUGCGUAGAGAUCUGGAGGAAUACCGGUGGCGAAGGCGGCCCCCUGGACGAAGACUGACGCUCAGGUGCGAAAGCGUGGGGAGCAAACAGGAUUAGAUACCCUGGUAGUCCACGCCGUAAACGAUGUCGACUUGGAGGUUGUGCCCUUGAGGCGUGGCUUCCGGAGCUAACGCGUUAAGUCGACCGCCUGGGGAGUACGGCCGCAAGGUUAAAACUCAAAUGAAUUGACGGGGGCCCGCACAAGCGGUGGAGCAUGUGGUUUAAUUCGAUGCAACGCGAAGAACCUUACCUGGUCUUGACAUCCACGGAAGUUUUCAGAGAUGAGAAUGUGCCUUCGGGAACCGUGAGACAGGUGCUGCAUGGCUGUCGUCAGCUCGUGUUGUGAAAUGUUGGGUUAAGUCCCGCAACGAGCGCAACCCUUAUCCUUUGUUGCCAGCGGUCCGGCCGGGAACUCAAAGGAGACUGCCAGUGAUAAACUGGAGGAAGGUGGGGAUGACGUCAAGUCAUCAUGGCCCUUACGACCAGGGCUACACACGUGCUACAAUGGCGCAUACAAAGAGAAGCGACCUCGCGAGAGCAAGCGGACCUCAUAAAGUGCGUCGUAGUCCGGAUUGGAGUCUGCAACUCGACUCCAUGAAGUCGGAAUCGCUAGUAAUCGUGGAUCAGAAUGCCACGGUGAAUACGUUCCCGGGCCUUGUACACACCGCCCGUCACACCAUGGGAGUGGGUUGCAAAAGAAGUAGGUAGCUUAACCUUCGGGAGGGCGCUUACCACUUUGUGAUUCAUGACUGGGGUGAAGUCGUAACAAGGUAACCGUAGGGGAACCUGCGGUUGGAUCACCUCCUUA
rnacentral:rRNA from 3 species